rnacentral:lncRNA from 1 species
CACUUCUUUUUUUCGUUCAAAAUGGACGGUCGCGUUUUCUGCUUGAAUUCUCAACUAAAAUUUAACAAAUGGGAUGUUGUGCGGUAGCAGGAAAUGGAACUGAAAAUAACUAUGGAAAAAACAGUUUUUAUGGCUUUCUGUCAAAUUUAUCCACACGUGUCUCAAAAUGGUCUAUUCGAAUAAAAGAGAUUUCGCUUACGGCAAAGAUAGACGGAAGAUUAUAUGAUUCGAAAUAAGUUCUUAUAAAUUCCUAGGGAUCUGUAAUGUCGGACUCCUAUUUUCCUUAAUUCCGGAAAAAUCAAAAUGUUUAGAAUUUAAGUCAGUGAUCCUGGCCGUCUGCUUAAGGAAAAAUGAGAAAAUGAGAAAAUGGUUGACACAAAUCAUAAUCAUAAUCAAACAAAAUAUACAAUCCACGGAUAAAUCUUUUCUCAGAACAAUGGAACACAGAAAUGCGGUCAAGUUUGGAAAUAUGAGAAAUAUUUUUUCAAGUUUACUCGUUGUUUUCACUGGGUUUUGCGCUUUGUAGUUAAACGGGAACGCAGGAAAGCUUAGAUAUUGAACGAAUAAAAUUUAAAAAUGGUAUUUGCACACUAUAUAAAUCAAGCUGCGAAGGAAUUUUGGUGAUUAAUGAAGAUUCGCUAAUAUCAACAUAUUACAAAAUAAAACCCGAUUGAGGAUGGCUAAAAAUCUAAAGGUAUUCCCCGUGUUGACUGACAGCCGAUUUGCAAUGGCUUUUUAGUACAAGGUCUUCAUAAUAUGCAGUACCCAAGUUGGUUUGGAUUAUAAUAUGUAUUUCCAAGAUGUUUGAAGAUUACCAGGGAAAAAGUCUAUCUACCCUGCAAGAUUAUUAAGGCUUGAACUAAAGAGCGGUCGUUUUGCAUGGAAGAUCCCAAAUGAACGCAGAAUAUUAAUAAGGUAAUACCUGACAUCUGGCUUUGUGAUUCAGCUGAACUUUUGUGGUAUCGUGCGAAUUGCAAAGAUCGACCAACGCCAUUUCACUCCAAACCCCAAAUUGCUGUAGUCAUUUAAACAAAUAAAAACUCAAAAGAUACUGUUUAAU